GAGACACGGGACACACUGAGUGUACGCUGGUAAAAGUUAAAAGCAGAAACGAACUGAAAACAGAGAGAGAGAGAGUAAGACAGGAACCACUGAAGCUGCUGUAAAGUGUAGAGACAGACAGGCGCAGACACUGACAGUCAGUAGUGAACACAAACUGUGGUCCACAUUAAUGCAGAGUUACAUGUAAGAGGGGAUUUAAAUAAAACAUCUGAGACACAGAAAGACUUCAGGUGGUGCAAAGCUUCUGUAAACUCCAAUCAUCAACACAGUGCCAUGCUGGAGAGAAAACGCAAAGCUACAAACUUCCUCUUCACAUCAGAGUUGGACGAGGAGAUGACAGACACCACUGAGUGGAUGGAGGCCUGGAAGGCUCCAAGAGGAUGG
ensembl:lncRNA